ACACAUUUCCAAACUCUGCCGGCAUAGCAUGAGACUCUUAAUCUCAGGGUGGUGGGUUCAAGUCCCACAUUGGGCA